UCCCAGACUCCUACGGGAGGCAGCAGUGGGGGAUAUUGCACAAUGGGGGAAACCCUGAUGCAGCGACGCCGCGUGGGUGAAGAAGCGCCUCGGCGCGUAAAGCCCUGUCAGCAGGGAAGAAAAUGACGGUACCUGACUAAGAAGCCCCGGCUAACUACGUGCCAGCAGCCGCGGUAAUACGGAGGAUGCGAGCGUUAUCCGGAUUUAUUGGGUUUAAAGGGUGCGCAGGCGGGAGAUCAAGUCAGCGGUAAAAUGUCGGGGCUCAACCCCGGCCGGCCGUUGAAACUGGUUUUCUAGAGUUGGAGAGAAGUAUGCGGAAUUCGUGGUGUAGCGGUGAAAUGCAUAGAUAUCACGAAGAACUCCGAUUGCGAAGGCAGCAUACCGGCUCCAUACUGACGCUGAGGCACGAAAGCGUGGGGAUCGAACAGGAUUAGAUACCCCAGUAC
rnacentral:rRNA from 1 species